rnacentral:rRNA from 1 species
ACCUGGUUGAUCCUGCCAGUAGUCAUAUGCUUGUCUUAAAGAUUAAGCCAUGCAUGUCUAAGUAUAAGCAUUUAUACCGCGAGACUGCGAACGGCUCAUUAAAACAGUUAUGGUUUAUUUGAUGGUUCCUUUGCUACUUGGAUAACCGUAGUAAUUCUAGAGCUAAUACACGCACGAAGGGACGACUCACGAAGUCCUGUAUUUAUUAGAUUAAAGCCAACCACCUCCGGGUGUUCGUGGUGAAUCAUAGUAACUUCUCGGAUCGCCGGCUCUACGCCAGCGACGUGUCAUUCAAAUCUCUGCCCUAUCAGCUUUAGAUGGUAGGAUAUGGGCCUACCAUGGCGGUGACGGGUAACGGAGAAUUAGGGUUCGAUUCCGGAGAGGGAGCCUGAGAAACGGCUACCACUUCUAAGGAAGGCAGCAGGCGCGCAAAUUACCCAAUCCUGACUCAGGGAGGUAGUGACAAAAAAUAACAAUAAACCGGCUUAUGCCGGUUUAAUUGGAAUGAGUACAAUUUAAACAUCUUAACGAGGAACAAUUGGAGGGCAAGUCUGGUGCCAGCAGCCGCGGUAAUUCCAGCUCCAAUAGCGUAUACUAAAGUUGUUGCAGUUAAAAAGCUCGUAGUUGGAUUUCUGCGGGGGCGGGGCGGCCGGAUGCUUAUAGCAUCUCGAGCUAGCACUUCCCCCGCAUCCUGCCGCGAACCGUGCUACCAUUAGUUUGGUGGCGCUGGGGAUCGGCUCGUUUACUUUGAGAAAAAUAGAGUGUUCAAAGCAGGCCACACGCCUUGAAUAAGUUAGCAUGGAAUAAUGAUAAAGGACUUCGGUUCUAUUUUGUUGGUGUUCGGGACUGAAGUAAUGAUUGAUAGGGACAGUUGGGGCGGUCAGUAUUCCAAAGCGAGAGGUGAAAUUCUUAGACCUUCGGAAGACUAACAGCUGCGAAAGCGUUCCGCAAGGAUGUUCCCUUUGAUCAAGAACGAAAGUUGGGGGAUCGAAGACGGUCAGAUACCGUCGUAGUCUCAACUAUAAACUAUACCAGCUAGGGAUCGGCCGACGUUUACUUAUAUCGACUCGGUCGGCACCUUAUGAGAAAUCAAAGCAUCUGGGUUCCGGGGGGAGUAUGGUCGCAAGGCUGAAACUUAAA